UACGUAGAAGACUAGUGUUAUUCAUCUUUAAUAGGUUUAAAGGGUACCUAGACGGUAUAAUUAGUCUUUAACAGGAAACGGUUAUACUAGAGUUAUAUAUGAGGAGGUGAGUAUUUGUGGAGUAGAGUUGAAAUUCUUUGAUACCAUGAAGACUGGUAAAAGGCGAAAGCAACCUUUUAUCUAAUAACUGACGUUGAGGGACGAAGGCUCGGGU
rnacentral:rRNA from 1 species